rnacentral:rRNA from 1 species
UACGUAGGUGGCAAGCGUUGUCCGGAUUUAUUGGGCGUAAAGAGCGUGUAGGCGGCCAGGUAGGUCUGGUGUGAAAACUCGAGGCUUAACCUCGAGAUGUCAUCGGAAACCAUCUGGCUAGAGUCCGGGAGAGGAGAGUGGAAUUCCUGGUGUAGCGGUGAAAUGCGCAGAUAUCAGGAAGAACACCCGUGGCGAAAGCGGCUCUCUGGAACGGUACUGACGCUGAGACGCGAAAAGCGUGGGGAGCGAACAGG